GGCUUCAAGGCAGCGCCGACUAAAAUGUCGACGGAGGAAAGAGGGGAAACGGCUGCCGUCGGCGUAGAUCCGCCGCCGCAUUGUUUGCUAGAUAGGAAAAGGUUGCUUGUUUUGAAGUGAUGGAAGGUAUUGAGGGAUUGGAAAUUCAGAAGACAUGUUUACCUUGUUCGUGUCGUCAAAUGAAAUCUUGAAAACUUAUCGACAUAGGCAACUGAAACCUUGGACAAUGCCAAACCUAUACUUUGCCCCUGGCCAGGCACGAACCGGGAAUUGAACCUGCUUCACCGGGUGCAUGUAAACAUGCUGUUAUGGUUGGUGGUGCCUAAUCUUUUGUUUUCUUGGAACUAACUGAUUGAUCCCUUUUUGAACACAUAACACACAGGUGAGAGAAAAGAUAUGAGAUAAAUGAAUAAAUCCAUGGAUGGGUCCAAAGCUUGGCAUGGAGACAGCUAAAGAAACAUAUUUUUGGGAUGGGCAGUCUUUUCAGAGGACUAGGUCAAAGGUAGAGAGAUAGCUGGUGGUCAAUGAAAGGCAAGAAAAGGGUGGGCUUUGGGCAUUGGCAUUGGCAUUGGCAUUGGCAUUGGCAUUUGGGAACAACUACUGAGAAGAAGACCUAAUGUAAAUAAAUAAAUUAAUAAAAAGGGUUUUUUUUAUUUUUUAUUAUUUAUUGAUUGAUCAGAGCAGAGUGGAUCGGUGUGGGCCCUUUUUCAAUUUCUUUACUUGACUUUUUUGAAUUCGUUCGUUUGACUUGGAAAUGUGUCUUCCCCUCUGACUAAUGCGUGUUGACAUCAUUCCAUCUCGGGUUUUGGAUUA